GGGUUGUGAGGUUAAGCGACUAAGCGUACACGGUGGAUGCCCUGGCAGUCAGAGGCGAUGAAGGACGUGCUAAUCUGCGAAAAGCGUCGGUAAGGUGAUAUGAACCGUUAUAACCGGCGAUGUCCGAAUGGGGAAACCCAGUGUGAUUCGUCACACUAUCGUUAACUGAAUACAUAGGUUAACGAGGCGAACCGGGGGAACUGAAACAUCUAAGUACCCCGAGGAAAAGAAAUCAACCGAGAUUCCCCCAGUAGCGGCGAGCGAACGGGGAGCAGCCCAGAGUCUGAAUCAGCUUGUGUGUUAGUGGAACGGUCUGGAAAGUCCGACGGUACAGGGUGAUAGUCCCGUACACCAAAAUGCACAGGCUGUGAACUCGAAGAGUAGGGCGGGACACGUGGUAUCCUGUCUGAAUAUGGGGGGACCAUCCUCCAAGGCUAAAUACUCCUGACUGACCGAUAGUGAACCAGUACCGUGAGGGAAAGGCGAAAAGAACCCCGGCGAGGGGAGUGAAAAAGAACCUGAAACCGUGUACGUACAAGCAGUGGGAGCACCUUCGGGUGUGACUGCGUACCUUUUGUAUAAUGGGUCAGCGACUUAUAUUCUGUAGCAAGGUUAACCGUAUAGGGGAGCCGCAGGGAAACCGAGUCUUAACUGGGCGUUAAGUUGCAGGGUAUAGACCCGAAACCCGGUGAUCUAGCCAUGGGCAGGUUGAAGGUUGGGUAACACUAACUGGAGGACCGAACCGACUAAUGUUGAAAAAUUAGCGGAUGACUUGUGGCUGGGGGUGAAAGGCCAAUCAAACCGGGAGAUAGCUGGUUCUCCCCGAAAGCUAUUUAGGUAGCGCCUCGUGAAUUCAUCUUCGGGGGUAGAGCACUGUUUCGGCUAGGGGGUCAUCCCGACUUACCAACCCGAUGCAAACUACGAAUACCGAAGAAUGUUAUCACGGGAGACACACGGCGGGUGCUAACGUCCGUCGUGAAGAGGGAAACAACCCAGACCGCCAGCUAAGGUCCCAAAGUCAUGGUUAAGUGGGUAACGAUGUGGGAAGGCACAGACAGCCAGGAUGUUGGCUUAGAAGCAGCCAUCAUUUAAAGAAAGCGUAAUAGCUCACUGGUCGAGUCGGCCUGCGCGGAAGAUGUAACGGGGCUAAACCAUGCACCGAAGCUGCGGCAGCGACACUAUGUGUUGUUGGGUAGGGGAGCGUUCUGUAAGCCUGCGAAGGUGUGCUGUGAGGCAUGCUGGAGGUAUCAGAAGUGCGAAUGCUGACAUAAGUAACGAUAAAGCGGGUGAAAAGCCCGCUCGCCGGAAGACCAAGGGUUCCUGUCCAACGUUAAUCGGGGCAGGGUGAGUCGACCCCUAAGGCGAGGCCGAAAGGCGUAGUCGAUGGGAAACAGGUUAAUAUUCCUGUACUUGGUGUUACUGCGAAGGGGGGACGGAGAAGGCUAUGUUAGCCGGGCGACGGUUGUCCCGGUUUAAGCAUGUAGGCUGAUUAUCCAGGCAAAUCCGGAUAAUCAAGGCUGAGGUGUGAUGACGAGGCACCACGGUGCUGAAGUAACAAAUGCCCUGCUUCCAGGAAAAGCCUCUAAGCAUCAGGUAACAUCAAAUCGUACCCCAAACCGACACAGGUGGUCAGGUAGAGAAUACCAAGGCGCUUGAGAGAACUCGGGUGAAGGAACUAGGCAAAAUGGUGCCGUAACUUCGGGAGAAGGCACGCUGGUGUGUAGGUGAAGUCCCUGCGGAUGGAGCUGAGACCAGUCGAAGAUACCAGCUGGCUGCAACUGUUUAUUAAAAACACAGCACUGUGCAAACACGAAAGUGGACGUAUACGGUGUGACGCCUGCCCGGUGCCGGAAGGUUAAUUGAUGGGGUUAUCCGUAAGGAGAAGCUCUUGAUCGAAGCCCCGGUAAACGGCGGCCGUAACUAUAACGGUCCUAAGGUAGCGAAAUUCCUUGUCGGGUAAGUUCCGACCUGCACGAAUGGCGUAAUGAUGGCCAGGCUGUCUCCACCCGAGACUCAGUGAAAUUGAACUCGCUGUGAAGAUGCAGUGUACCCGCGGCAAGACGGAAAGACCCCGUGAACCUUUACUAUAGCUUGACACUGAACAUUGAGCCUUGAUGUGUAGGAUAGGUGGGAGGCUUUGAAGCGUGGACGCCAGUCUGCGUGGAGCCAACCUUGAAAUACCACCCUUUAAUGUUUGAUGUUCUAACGUUGGCCCCUUACCGGGGUUGCGGACAGUGUCUGGUGGGUAGUUUGACUGGGGCGGUCUCCUCCCAAAGCGUAACGGAGGAGCACGAAGGUUAGCUAAUCCUGGUCGGACAUCAGGAGGUUAGUGCAAUGGCAUAAGCUAGCUUGACUGCGAGCGUGACGGCGCGAGCAGGUGCGAAAGCAGGUCAUAGUGAUCCGGUGGUUCUGAAUGGAAGGGCCAUCGCUCAACGGAUAAAAGGUACUCCGGGGAUAACAGGCUGAUACCGCCCAAGAGUUCAUAUCGACGGCGGUGUUUGGCACCUCGAUGUCGGCUCAUCACAUCCUGGGGCUGAAGUAGGUCCCAAGGGUAUGGCUGUUCGCCAUUUAAAGUGGUACGCGAGCUGGGUUUAGAACGUCGUGAGACAGUUCGGUCCCUAUCUGCCGUGGGCGCUGGAGAAUUGAGGGGGGCUGCUCCUAGUACGAGAGGACCGGAGUGGACGCAUCACUGGUGUUCGGGUUGUCAUGCCAAUGGCACUGCCCGGUAGCUAAAUGCGGAAGAGAUAAGUGCUGAAAGCAUCUAAGCACGAAACUUGCCCCGAGAUGAGUUCUCCCUGAGACUUUAAGUCUCCUGAAGGAACGUUAAAGACGAUGACGUUGAUAGGCCGGGUGUGUAAGCGCAGCGAUGCGUUGAGCUAACCGGUACUAAUGAACCGUGAGGCUUAACCUUACAACGCCGAAG
rnacentral:rRNA from 1 species